rfam:Bathycoccus prasinos genomic : Chloroplast.
GGAGAGAUGACUGAGUGGCCGAAAGUACUUCAUUGCUAAUGAAGCGUACAAGUAAUUGUACCAAGGGUUCGAAUCCCUUUCUCUCCG